CAGCCGCCACGGGAACACCAGCACCUCGAGUGGUCAGGAGGUUUAUUGGGCCUAAAGCAUUCGUAGCCGGUUGCAUAAGUUUUCGGUUAAAUCUAUGCGCUUAACGUAUAGGCCGCCGAAAAUACUGUGCAGCUAGGGAGUGGGAGAGGUACACGGUACUCGAUAGGAAGGGGUAAAAUCCUUUGAUCUAUUGAUGACCACCUGUGGCGAAGGCGGUGUACCAGAACACGUUCGACGGUGAGGGAUGAAAGCUGGGGGAGCAAACCGGAUUAGAUACCCGCGUAGUCCCUGUCUCUUAUAC
rnacentral:rRNA from 1 species